rnacentral:rRNA from 1 species
AACGAACGCUGGCGGCAUGCCUAACACAUGCCAGUCGAACGAGAUCUUCGGGUCUAGUGGCGCACGGGUGCGUAACGCGUGGGAAUCUGCCCUUUGGUUCGGAAUAACAGUUGGAAACGACUGCUAAUACCGGAUGAUGACGAAAGUCCAAAGAUUUAUCGCCAGAGGAUGAGCCCGCGUAGGAUUAGCUAGUUGGUGUGGUAAAGGCGCACCAAGGCGACGAUCCUUAGCUGGUCUGAGAGGAUGAUCAGCCACACUGGGACUGAGACACGGCCCAGACUCCUACGGGAGGCAGCAGUGGGGAAGAUUGGACAAUGGGCGAAAGCCUGAUCCAGCAAUGCCUCGUGAGUGAUGAAGGCCUUAGGGUUGUAAAGCUCUUUUACCCUGGAUGAUAAUGACAGUACCGGGAGAAUAAGCUCCGGCUAACUCCGUGCCAGCCGCCGCCGUAA